CUCCUCAGGUUCCGCCGCUUCAACAUCCUCACCUCGAGCAGCAAAACGCUCCUGGCCGGGGACAGUCCCCAGGAAGGGCUCGUCUGUGACUUCCAGUACCUCACGCUGAAGGAGCAGAAGGACAGCAGGGCCGGCAAAGGCAAAGGCGGCGCUGGAGAGGGUCCCUUGGCAGUGACAGAAGAGCUGCACCUCAUCACCUUCACGCUGGCUUACGCCUACGGCGAGCUGGAGCUGGAUCUGGAGACCAGCACGCUGCCCUUCGUCAUCAUCUCCAACAACGCGCAGCUCUCCAGCGCCUGGGCCGCCGUGCUCUGGUUCAACCUGCUGAGCGCCGACCCCAAGGUGCCACCGCCGUGUCCCCAAACAUGUCACCCUGUGCCACCGCCGUGUCCCCAGAAAUGUCACCCUGGUGUCCCCAAAACUGCCACUGCCGUGUCCCCAAAACUGCCACCGCCGUGUCCCCAAAAAUGUCACCCUGUGCCACCACCGUGUCCUCAAAACUGCCACCGCUGUGUCCCCAAAACUGCCACCGCCACGUCCCCAGAAAUGUCAUCCUGAGCCACCACUGCAUCCCCAGAAAUGUCACCCCCGUGUCCCCAAAACUGUCACCCUGGUGUCCCCAAAACUGCUACCGCCGUGUCCCCAAAACUGCCACCGCCGCGUCCCCAAAAAUGUCACCCUGUGCCAUCAUGGUGUCCCCAAAACUGCCACCGCCGUGUCCCCAGAAAUGUCACCCUGGUGUCCCCAAAACUGUCACUGCGGUGUCCCCAAAACUGCCACC